GACGAACGCUGGCGGCGUGCAUAAUACAUGCACGUAGAACGCAGUUGCGAACGGGUGAGUAACGCGUCGGUAACUGCCUGGUAGCGGGGGAUAACUAUUGGAAACGAUAGCUAAUACCGCAUAAUACCCGCUGGACCUGCGUUGUAUUAGCUAGUUGGGGAGGUAACGGCUCACCAAGGCAACGAUACAUAGCCGACCUGGUAGGGUGAUCGGGCAAACUGGGACUGAGACACGGCCCAGACUCCUACGGGUGGCAGCAGUAGGGAAGUGUCGGCAAUGGGGGGAACCCUGACCGAGCAACGCCGCGUGAGUGAAGAAGGUUUUCGGAUCGUAAAGCUCUGUUGUUAAGGAAGCGGUACUUAACCAGAAAGGGACGGCUAACUACGUGCCAGCAGCCGCGGUAAUUC
rnacentral:rRNA from 1 species